CUCGUAGGCGGUUCGUCGCGUCCGGUGUGAAAGUCCAUCGCUUAACGGUGGAUCCGCGCCGGGUACGGGCGGGCUUGAGUGCGGUAGGGGAGACUGGAAUUCCCGGUGUAACGGUGGAAUGUGUAGAUAUCGGGAAGAACACCAAUGGCGAAGGCAGGUCACUGGGCCAUUACUGACGCUGAGGAGCGAAAGCAUGGGGAGCGAACA
rnacentral:rRNA from 1 species